AACGAACGCUGGCGGCAGGCUUAACACAUGCAAGUCGAACGGGUGUAGCAAUACAUCAGUGGCAGACGGGUGAGUAACACGUGGGAACCUUCCUAGAGGUACGGAACAACGCAGGGAAACUUGCGCUAAUACCGUAUACGCUCGAGAGAGGAAAGAUUUAUCGCCUUUAGACGGGCCCGCGUCGGAUUAGCUAGUUGGUAAGGUAACUGCUUACCAAGGCGACGAUCCGUAGCUGAUCUGAGAGGAUGAUCAGCCACACUGGGACUGAGACACGGCCCAGACUCCUACGGGAGGCAGCAGUGGGGAAUUUUGGACAAUGGGCGCAAGCCUGAUCCAGCCAUGCCGCGUGAGUGAAGAAGGCCUUCGGGUUGUAAAGCUCUUUUACCAGGGACGAUAAUGACGGUACCUGGAGAAUAAGCCCCGGCAAACUUCGUGCCAGCCGCCGCCGUAA
rnacentral:rRNA from 1 species